UGGAUAGAGGAAGUGCGCUAAGCCGCACAAAACAACUUAUUCCGGAGACAGCCGCCUCCCACCCCGCUCCCCCGCCUGUAACAUCGAUAUGCUGGCUGGAUAUGAAUAAAAAGACCUGACUGGUGCUCCUCACAAGAUUUCUGACAGAGGAAUGAGAAGAAGAAUCAGAAGAGUUGUCCAAGAGCCAAGAAGCUUCAAAAAUAUCUGGAAUUAGCAGAUUUUAGAGCUGAGAAAAGAACCAAGGAAACUAGUCCCUUUUCACUGUAGCAUCAAGAAAUCCAUGACAACUGCCCUAAAUCGUCAGGUGUCUGAUCGCAGGGGGGUCCCCACUCCGUGUAAGAAGACUGUUGACCACCGCAUGAAGCUGGCGAAGGGUUUUGUUUAUUGGGGGUGGGUUUUUCUCCUUUCGGAGAAGGGCUUGUGAUGGACCGCAUCCUCAUGCAUGUUUUUUUGUGUGAACACGUUUUGCAAUUUUUGCUUGCACUUGGGUGACUUGAGAGCACAUACCUCCAUGGAUAUCUAUAGGAGAGCUGGAGACACACGAGUGCUGUAUCUCUGACCUCCAUGGCUGCUCCGAGCAAGAGAAGAGCCGGUGUUCUAAACACAAAUGUCCAGAACACCGG